rnacentral:rRNA from 1 species
GACGACGACGGGUAGCCGGCCUGAGAGGGCGACCGGCCACACUGGGACUGAGACACGGCCCAGACUCCUACGGGAGGCAGCAGUGGGGAAUAUUGCACAAUGGGGGAAACCCUGAUGCAGCGACGCAGCGUGCGGGAUGACGGCCUUCGGGUUGUAAACCGCUUUCAGCAGGGAAGAAGCGCAAGUGACGGUACCUGCAGAAGAAGUACCGGCUAACUACGUGCCAGCAGCCGCGGUAAUACGUAGGGUACGAGCGUUGUCCGGAAUUAUUGGGCGUAAAGAGCUCGUAGGUGGUUGGUCACGUCUGCUGUGGAAACGCAACGCUUAACGUUGCGCGUGCAGUGGGUACGGGCUGACUAGAGUGCAGUAGGGGAGUCUGGAAUUCCUGGUGUAGCGGUGAAAUGCGCAGAUAUCAGGAGGAACACCGGUGGCGAAGGCGGGACUCUGGGCUGUAACUGACACUGAGGAGCGAAAGCAUGGGGAGCGAACAGGAUUAGAUACCCUGGUAGUCCAUGCCGUAAACGUUGGGCACUAGGUGUGGGGGGCAUUCCACGUUCUCCGCGCCGUAGCUAACGCAUUAAGUGCCCCGCCUGGGGAGUCGG